rnacentral:rRNA from 1 species
UUGCCUACGGGGGGCAGCAGUGAGGAAUAUUGGUCAAUGGGCGGGAGCCUGAACCAGCCAAGCCGCGUGAAGGAAGAAGGCGCCAAGCGUCGUAAACUUCUUUUGUCGGGGAACAAAGGGCGCCACGUGUGGCGUUGUGAGUGUACCCGAAGAAAAAGCAUCGGCUAACUCCGUGCCAGCAGCCGCGGUAAUACGGAGGAUGCGAGCGUUAUCCGGAUUUAUUGGGUUUAAAGGGUGCGCAGGCGGCGAGUUAAGUCAGCGGUAAAAUUUCGGGGCUCAACCCCGACGAGCCGUUGAAACUGGCU